rnacentral:lncRNA from 1 species
CCCUGAUUCUGGAGGCUUCUAUCUGCCCACAGCCCCGUGGAGCAGGCAUUCUUACCCCCAUUCUGAGGCCAUAAGAUGCUCACUCCAAGUCCCGCUGCAGGGAACGGGCUGAGCCGGAGCUCAGGCCGGCCUGGCCCAUGUCCUGUUGGACCCAGUGAGUGCUGAGGGGCAGCUUCAGAGCCACGUCGCCUCCAUUUCCCCAUGCCUCCCUCGCUGUCACGUGGAGGAGGGCCCUGGCACCUGAGCCUGGGGAUGGGUGGGACGUGGACAGCUCUGCAGAGACGGGGCUCCGGCAUCUCGUGGCUCUGGGUGGCAUUCCGCCUGAGACUCACCCUCUGAGAGGCCCCACCAAUUCAUGUGUCAAAUGGAGCCACACAGAUCUGGGCUGCCACCGGCCGGCUGUGGGAUGUGGGCAUUGCUCAGCUGGUGAGUUUGUAUGUUUCCUGAAGAUUUGCUCCUCUCUGCUCAGUGUGGACUCCACUGCGAGCAGCAGUGGUUUCACAGGCGCCAGGCAUUUGGGAGGAUGGACAUUUUGCUGUACAGUCUGGAUGGGCUUGGAAGCAUGUUGAUCGCCUUUUUCUGGGAAGAGGAAAAAAGAAGGUGUGCUGUGAGACGUGGAGAGAGAGAAGGAAGAAAGGACGAGGAGGGGUAAAGAGAGAGGUUUGAGGGUGGUGUCCCCAUGCCAGCAUGGCCACAGUGGCUGCAUUUCAAUUAAUUUUCAUCCUUUUGUUUGAGAUGGGGGUGUAGCCAUGGGCCAAGACAUUGGAACAUAUUUUCUAAAUCUUCCUCCAAAUGUGCAAGUAAUCAGAGCUUACAGACUUUUACGUAGCCACAGUUCCUCAAAGUCUCAAAUCUCUUUCCUUACCUGUAAAAUGGAGAUAAAUAAUCUCUAUUUCACAAAGAUUUAUUUUGAGGCAAAAUAAAAGAAUAACUGUGAAUAGUGCUCUGAAAAGGAUAAAGUAGCUGUGUCAACCUGCCUUAAUAUUUAAUCCCCUUGAAACAGCUGGCUGGCAAAUCAGGCGAGGGCUGUCACUGAGCCAGGCACAGGAGCAUUUAAGGGGUUCCCAUCUUGACUCUAGAUGUGGGCCCUGCGGUCUGGGCCGUGGCCACCGCAGGGGUCAUUAACUGUUGCCCAGUGGAGGGCAUGUGCUUCCCUCUCGUGCUGGCUGACUGCACCGCCUCCUGGGCCGUUACGUUUAUCACUGUGCAAAUUAUCCUCAGUGAUGGCACGGGACAGCGGCCUUGGCAGCCCAGUGUCAGCAUCUGACACAGCGGGCAGGGACACCUUUUGCUGCAUGUGCUUGGGGGCUGGGGACGUCCUCAGAGGCCCUUUCUACUCAACCGUCCCCGAGCUGACUCUGUGGGACAAGGAGGCUGCAAAAUGACCCCAGCACAGCCCCCUCCACAUGAGUUCCAUGGUGUCUUCUUUCUGUACUUCAUUCACUCUUUCAUUUGAAGAGGUUCCAGGGAGGCUGCAG